rnacentral:rRNA from 1 species
AGUGAACGCUGGCGGUAGGCCUAACACAUGCAAGUCGAACGGCAGCACAGAGGAGCUUGCUCCUUGGGUGGCGAGUGGCGGACGGGUGAGGAAUACAUCGGAAUCUACUCUGUCGUGGGGGAUAACGUAGGGAAACUUACGCUAAUACCGCAUACGACCUACGGGUGAAAGCAGGGGAUCCUCGGACCUUGCGCGAUUGAAUGAUCCGAUGUCGGAUUAGCUAGUUGGCGGGGUAAAGGCCCACCAAGGCGACGAUCCGUAGCUGGUCUGAGAGGAUGAUCAGCCACACUGGAACUGAGACACGGCCCAGACUCCUACGGGAGGCAGCAGUGGGGAAUAUUGGGCAAGGGGCGCAAGCCUGAUCCAGCCAUACCGCGUGGGUGAAGAAGGCCUUCGGGUUGUAAAGCCCUUUAGUUGGGAAAGAAGUCCAUCUGGUUAAUACCCGGGUGGGAUGACGGUACCCAAAGAAUAAGCACCGGCUAACUUCGUGCCAGCAGCCGCCGUAA